UGGGGAAUAUUGCACAAUGGGCGCAAGCCUGAUGCAGCCAUGCCGCGUGUGUGAAGAAGGCCUUCGGGUUGUAAAGCACUUUCAGCGAGGAGGAAGGUGGUGAGCUUAAUACGCUCAUCAAUUGACGUUACUCGCAGAAGAAGCACCGGCUAACUCCGUGCCAGCAGCCGCGGUAAUACGGAGGGUGCAAGCGUUAAUCGGAAUUACUGGGCGUAAAGCGCACGCAGGCGGUUUGUUAAGUCAGAUGUGAAAUCCCCGGGCUCAACCUGGGAACUGCAUUUGAAACUGGCAAGCUAGAGUCUCGUAGAGGGGGGUAGAAUUCCAGGUGUAGCGGUGAAAUGCGUAGAGAUCUGGAGGAAUACCGGUGGCGAAGGCGGCCCCCCUGGACGAAGACUGACGCUCAGGUGCGAAAAGCGUGGGGCAGCAAACAGGAUUAGAUACCCUGGUAGUCCACGCUGUAAACGAUGUCGAUUUGGAGGUUGUGCCCCUUGAGGCGUGGCUUCCGGAGCUAACGCGUUAAAGUCGACCG
rnacentral:rRNA from 1 species